rnacentral:rRNA from 1 species
AGGGUUCGGCUGUUCGCCGAUUAAAGUGGUACGUGAGCUGGGUUUAGAACGUCGUGAGACAGUUCGGUCCCUAUCUGCCGUGGGUGUUCGAGACUUGAGAGGAGCUGCCCCUAGUACGAGAGGACCGGGGUGGACGUACCUCUGGUGUACCGGUUGUGGCGCCAGCCGCACCGCCGGGUAGCCAAGUACGGAAGGGAUAACCGCUGAAGGCAUCUAAGCGGGAAGCCCCCCUCGAAACAAGGUCUCGCUUGAGAGUCGUGGAAGACCACCACGUCGAUAGGCCAGGUGUGGAAGCGCAGUAAUGUGUGAAGCUAACUGGUACUAAUCACUCGAUUGGCUUGAUUUCAAGAU